GAUGAACGCUGGCGGCGUGCUUAACACAUGCAAGUCGAACGAUGAAGCCCAGCUUGCUGGGUGGAUUAGUGGCGAACGGGUGAGUAACACGAGAGGAACCUGCCCCUAACUCUGGGAUAAGCCUGGGAAACUGGGUCUAAUACCGGAUAGGAGCAUUCACCGCAUGGUGGGUGUUGGAAAGAUUUAUAGGUUUUGGAUGUACUCGCGGCCUAUCAGCUCGUUGGUGAGGUAAUGGCUCACCAAGGCGACGACGGGUAGCCGGCCUGAGAGGGUGACCGGCCACACUGGGACUGAGACACGGCCCAGACUCAUACGGGAGGCAGCAGUGGGGAAGAUUGCACAAGGGGAGCAAGCCUAAUGCAGCGACGCCGCGUGAGGGAUGACGGCCUUCGGGUUGUAAACCUCUUUCAGUAGGGAAGAAGCGAAAGUGACGGUACCUGAAGAAGAAGCACCGGCUAACUACGUG
rnacentral:rRNA from 1 species